AGAGUUUGAUUCUGGCUCAGAACGAACGCUGGCGGCGUGGUUGAUACAUGCAAGUCGAACGGGAAAGAGAGCUUC
rnacentral:rRNA from 1 species